UUAGCUCUCUUCUCUCUCUCUGUCCUGCUCUGCCAUGGUAGAUGUGCUUGCUUUCCCUUUGCCUUCUGCCAUGAUUGUAAGUUUCCUAAGGUUUUCCAGCCAUGCUUCCUGUACAGCCUGCAGAACUGCUCUUUCCUUUAUAAAAUACCCAGUCUCAGAGAUGGGAUCUUGCUAUGUUGCCCAGGCUGAUCUCGAACACCGGAGCUCAAGUGAUCCUCCUGCCUCAGCCUCCCAAAGUGCUGAGAUUACAGUCAUGAGCCACCAUGCCUGGCACGAUAGAGAGUCUCUCUCUUGUGGCCCAGGCUGGAGUGCAGUGACACAAUCUCAGCUCAUUGCAACCUCCACCUCCCAGGUUCAAGUGAUUUUCCU
rnacentral:lncRNA from 1 species